CGCGACUAUGCUUCUUUUUCUCAACAAGCACCUGAAUCCAGCCCUAGUAAUGUUAAAAUUCAAGCGAUUGAACCUCAAAUCUCUCCUCAUGCGUUCUCCUUUCUCUCCUCUUACCACAGAUAACCAUUUCUGACACUGAAGAUUCUCAUUCCCUUCGCUCGCUCGAUUUGGAGAUAAGGCACGUGAUUAGAAGCUUCUGGGAACGAUUUGGUGGAUGAGUGUGAGGCGUUGGAUUGAUUUCACUUAAUCCAAGCCCCACAUUCAUCACGAAUCUAUUUUCAAAAGGAGCUCAAUCCAAUUUUUGAGGGGGGCGGAAAACAUUUCAGAAAAAGGGGUAUCGAAAGGUUUUCUGUGAAAAAGUUACUCUUGCCAUUUGACUUUCUUGGACGAGGUCAUUAAAGUUUAAGAAAAACAUAGAUACAUUUUUUUCUUAUUUUAAAUCCGGAUUUGAGUUCCUGAAAGAAAAAUUGAAGUUCAAGCUAUGUUUCACUGUUGUUCUGCUGAACCUGAAUAGAAUUCAGGAUCGGAAGGUGUAGUGUUGAGAAUAUAUUUAUUAAAAAGAUUUUGAAAUUUCAGGUUCGAUCUCUUUAUUUUUUCGCAUCUCUGUUAUGAAAUACUUUGAACAUUGGGAUUUUGCCCAAGAAUGAUGUUCGGUUCUGUGUGGUUCUUUUGUUGCUGAACUGCUUCUCAGUGGCGCGCAUUUGAAUAUUCUCACUUAGUAGAAGUUCAUUUCGAGUGGUCGUUUUCUUUUGCUUAACUGAUAUUGUGAUGUCGAGUUUCGUUUGAGUGAAGGUUCUG
rnacentral:lncRNA from 1 species